rnacentral:lncRNA from 1 species
AGAAUGCACAGGUCACAAUGGGAGCAAACUAAGGAGCUUAGAAAAGGUUCCUAUCUGUGGUCUCUGGAUGAAUCUUUUAGACACCCAGUAGAACUAGCUUUGCCAAGAAAGUGGGAAGGGGGAUUCAUGUCACCACGCACAGCGUAAGCAAAAGCACUGAGACACAGAGCAGCACAAUGUGCAGGGCUCCAAGUAAAAGACGGAGAACCACAGACAGAGGCAAGCGUCUGGUGUGUAUGGCACAGGUACAGGUAAGGCAGGUGUUGGGCUUGGCUUGUGCCCAAGCAUCUAGGGGCCACCCUGGGCUGCACAGAUAGUCUGUUUUCACUGAGUCCCCAAGUGGCAAAUUGAAGCAGAGUAGAUGUGGUUAGGGAGAAAAA